CUACGGGAUGCUGCAGUGGGGAAUAUUGGACAAUGGGGGAAACCCUGAUCCAGCAAUGCCGCGUGUGUGAAGAAGGCCUGCGGGUUGUAAAGCACUUUCGGUUGGGAGGACUGCUUCUAGCACUAAUAUUGUUGGAAGUUGACGUUACCUUCAGAAGAAGCACCGGCUACUCCGUGCCAGCAGCCGCGGUAAUACGGAGGAUGCAAGCGUUAAUCGGAAUUACUGGGCGUAAAGCGCGCGUAGGCGGCUAGAUCAGUCGGGUGUGAAAGCCCCGGGCUUAACCUGGGAACUGCAUCCGAUACUGUCUAGCUUGAGUACGGGAGAGGAGAGUGGAAUUCCACAUGUAGCGGUGAAAUGCGUAGAUAUGUGGAGGAACACCAAUGGCGAAGGCAGCUCUCUGGCCUGAUACUGACGCUGAGGUGCGAAAGCGUGGGGAGCAAACAGGAUUAGAUACCCGAGUAGUC
rnacentral:rRNA from 1 species